UCUAUAAAAGGACCCCGGAAGCGCGGGUGGGCGCGGGCUGCAGCAGGGCGGGUUAGGGUCGGGUGCGGGUCACACAAGCACAGGGCAUCGAACAAUUAGGUUGCGAGUAGGGUUGCCACCUUUUUAACAUUUCUUUACCGGCUGGUGGGGGGCGGGGACGCAAAGGGGCGGGCCGUGAUGUCAAAAUGGGCAGGGCAUGACGUCAAAGGGGGCGGGGCCGCACCACGGACACUAAACGAACCACAAAGAAAAGGAGCACGUGUUACCUGAUGCAGCAGGGCCAAUGGCCGCUAUAAAUCAGACUAAUGGAACUGCGUCACGUGUGGGUGGCUUCUGCUUAUUCUUGGGCCCUCCGAGUUACCACACAAAAGCAUUAUGUGUAAACAGCCUCCAAUAACCCCCUAAUAUCAAGGACACACACCUUACACAGACCAGCAAGUAUGUAACAGGUUCGCAGCCGCAAGGGAAGACUGAAUAAAAUCCUGCCCCAAAGAAAAAUCCUAAAGCUAGUCAGCGUAAACAACUACUAAGUGGAGCACUGUAGUAGCGUACGGCUCCAGCCAAUCCCCGCGUGACCGCCAUUUGACGAAGGCGCCGAAGGUCACGUGACGGAGACGUUCGUGACGUCACCCACGGCGUCUUAGCUACUGGGAACUAGCAACUAACGAGGCAGCAGAGAUGGCGUACCGCGGGCAAGGAGGCCAGAAAGUGCAGAAAGUGAUGGUGCAGCCCAUCGUAUCCUUUUAUUGUUCUGCUUGUACUUACCAAUAAAACUAUAAUAACAUCUUUA